rnacentral:rRNA from 1 species
GACGAACGCUGGCGGCGCGCCUAACACAUGCAAGUCGAACGGAGCUGAGAGAAGCUUGCUUUUCUUAGCUUAGUGGCGCACGGGUGAGUAACUCGUGUGUAACCUGCCCUGUUUUGGGGGACAACAGUUUGAAACGACUGCUAAUACCGCAUAAGCCCACGAUCCGGCAUCGGCUUUAGGUAAAAGGAUUUUUUCGCUUCAGGCUGGACUCGCGUCCAAUUAGCUAGUUGGUGAGGUAACGGCCCACCAAGGCGACGAUUGGUAGCCGGACUGAGAGGUAGAACGGACACAUUGGGAGUGAGACACGGACGAGAAUACUACGGGAGGGAGCAGUGGGGGAUAGUGCAAAAUGGGGGAAAAGAUGAAGGAGCGACGAGGGGUGGAGGAAGAAGGUUUUAGGAAAGAAAAGGACAGUAGAAAGGGACGAUAAUGACGGUAACUAAAAAGAAAGCACCGGCUAACUACGUG